rnacentral:lncRNA from 1 species
UGAAUUUGGGUUUUGAAGAUUGAAGAAUAGGUGGCAAUAUUCAGAAGCCAGGAUUUUUUUUUUCUCAAUUGUUUAGCUUGUCCAAGAAUGUUCUGACCUCGUAAAAGUAGAUAUGAUAUGUUUUCAGCUUAUGUUUUAACUAUGACUGCCGUGAGUGUUGGACUAACUUUAAUUUACUAUCUUAGCUCGUUUACAAAACUUAAUUUAUUUGGAUUGUUUAAUGAUUACAGCAGUCUUUUGUUAAGUAUGUCGAAUCUGAAAAGGUCCCCAAGGAAUUUAAAUCAUUCCUUUACUGUUCUCCUUGAGGCUUGGAAGAAAAAUUUGCUCCAUGGCUUUUUAUUUAGUCUGUAUUAAGUUAUUUGAUUUUUCAUUUUUCCCAUCAAUUUCCUAUGCCUAUCAGAGCAUCAUAAUUUUACUGUUGUUAAUUCUUUUUUUAUCAUGUAAAGGAUUUCAACCAAUUUUUACAAGACAAUUAUAAAUGUGAUAUAAAAUUUUGCCCCAAAGUCAAACCUAUGGAAAAAACAUUAAUUUUUCUUGGAUUAAAGUUGGAACACUACCUUGCUUUUGACCCAGCCUAUUUCAGAUAUUGUUUUCUUGUUUUGGAUGAAGACUUUCUUAAAUGCAAUUAAAGAAGUUGAAUUUUAUGUAAACCUAAAUUGAUUAUACUCUCAUCUGCUUGUGGUCAAGAAGUUUUCAACCCCAUGCUAUUAGCACAAUGGUCAUUGAAAAUAUAUUUAUAAUUUUCUUGAUGAAUAGAGUAUUUUUAAAAAUCUAGCAAAGUUUGCAAGUACUUUACAAAUCACUGUGACAAGAUUUUGCUGUACUCUUCCCUUUUACAUACUCAAAUUUCAGGAGAUUCGUUAUUUUUCCUACUUUACUCGCAACUUUAUCUCAU